rnacentral:rRNA from 1 species
UACGGGGGGGGCAAGCGUUGUUCGGAAUUACUGGGCGUAAAGGGCUCGUAGGUGGCCAACUAAGUCAGACGUGAAAUCCCUCGGCUUAACCGGGGAACUGCGUCUGAUACUGGAUGGCUUGAGUUCGGGAGAGGGAUGCGGAAUUCCAGGUGUAGCGGUGAAAUGCGUAGAUAUGCGGAGGAACACCGAUGGCGAAGGCAGCCUCCUGGGAUAACACUGACGCUCAUGCACGAAAGCGUGGGGAGCAAACAGG